UUCGCCCUUAGAGUUUGAUCCUGGCUCAGAACGAACGCUGGCGGCAGGCCUAACACAUGCAAGUCGAGCGAGGACUUCGGUCCUAGCGGCGGACGGGUGAGUAACGCGUGGGAAUGUGCCCUUCUCUACGGAAUAGUCCCGGGAAACUGGGUUUAAUACCGUAUACGCCCUUCGGGGGAAAGAUUUAUCGGAGAAGGAUCAGCCCGCGUUGGAUUAGGUAGUUGGUGGGGUAAUGGCCUACCAAGCCGACGAUCCAUAGCUGGUUUGAGAGGAUGAUCAGCCACACUGGGACUGAGACACGGCCCAGACUCCUACGGGAGGCAGCAGUGGGGAAUCUUAGACAAUGGGGGAAACCCUGAUCUAGCCAUGCCGCGUGAGUGAAGAAGGCCCUAGGGUCGUAAAGCUCUUUCGCCAGGGAUGAUAAUGACAGUACCUGGUAAAGAAACCCCGGCUAACUCCGUGCCAGCAGCCGCGGUAAUACGGAGGGGGUUAGCGUUGUUCGGAAUUACUGGGCGUAAAGCGCGCGUAGGCGGAUUAGUAAGUCAGAGGUGAAAUCCCAGGGCUCAACCCUGGAACUGCCUUUGAUACUGCUAGUCUUGAGUUCGAGAGAGGUGAGUGGAAUUCCGAGUGUAGAGGUGAAAUUCGUAGAUAUUCGGAGGAACACCAGUGGCGAAGGCGGCUCACUGGCUCGAUACUGACGCUGAGGUGCGAAAGUGUGGGGAGCAAACAGGAUUAGAUACCCUGGUAGUCCACACCGUAAACGAUGAAUGCCAGACGUCGGAAAGCUUGCUUUUCGGUGUCACACCUAACGGAUUAAGCAUUCCGCCUGGGGAGUACGUUCGCAAGAUUAAAACUCAAAGGAAUUGACGGGGGGCC
rnacentral:rRNA from 1 species